CUGCGCGCUACUAGUGGCACAGUUCGAAUUAAUUAAAUUAUAAAUAAAAUAAUAAAUAAGCUCUAAUACGAUAUGACCAGCGUUCUGGAAAGCCCUAAAUUAACAUAUAUGAAAACUUCUUGUUUAGCUUUGAUUGAACUCCAAUAUGCCACUAGGUAUCUUCGCUGGUUUUCCAAGAAUCCCAAGCGAAUGGUAUAUAACAAUCCCGUAGUAGCAGGUGUAAUUCGAAAUGAGUAACGAUGUUGAGCGCUAAUUAUACAAGAUCUUACCAGGUGUUUGGCUUCUUUCUUCGUGUAGUAAAGAUAGCAGAUAACAACUAGAUCCCACAAUGUGGUUUAAUUGCCAAGUCUAAUCAAUGGUACUACUAAACUAAUUAAUGCCUUGACAAUUUCUUCAAUAAAAUACUGGCGGUAAAAUCUGGCCUAAUUGCCUAUUUAAACUAAUUAAAAAUGCCACCAAGUAAAAAUUAUGUACUGCUUUCUAUACAGGAAGAGAACAAGUGGUAAGACCUUGAUGAAUUUUGGGAAUUUUCUGCAUAUGCAAACUAUAACUUGAUUAUUGAUAACAUUCCUCAUAACAAUAAAUAAUAUUUUUACACCUAAAGGAACCUCCUAGUGC